rnacentral:rRNA from 1 species
AAAUUGAAGAGUUUGAUCAUGGCUCAGAUUGAACGCUGGCGGCAGGCCUAACACAUGCAAGUCGAACGGUAGCACAGAGAGCUUGCUCUCGGGUGACGAGUGGCGGACGGGUGAGUAAUGUCUGGGAAACUGCCUGAUGGAGGGGGA